rnacentral:rRNA from 1 species
CCCGAUCGAGUUGUAAUUUGAAGAGGCGUUUUCUGUGUUUCUGAUCAGUCCAAGUCCUUUGGGAUAAGGCAUCAUGGAGGGUGAGAAUCCCGUCCGGUUGAUCAGAUUCGCCUUACGAUACGCUUUCUAAGAGUCAAGUUGUUUGGGAUUGCAGCUUAAAAUGGGAGGUAAAUUUCUCCUAAGGCUAAAUAACGGCGAGAGACCGAUAGCGAACAAGUACCGUGAGGGAAAGAUGAAAAGAGCUUUGAAAAGAGAGUUAAACAGUACGUGAAAUUGUUGAAAGGGAAACGAUUGAAGCCAGUCGUACCUUCGGGUAAUCAGCCUUUCGGGUGCGAUUCUGUGGAGUUUGAGGAGCUUUAACACCUUCAUGCUUUGCAUAUUCGUGCUCUUGGGUGUACUUGCCCGUGUGGUUGGUUAACAUCAAUUUCGGGCACCAUAAAAUGGCUGGAGGAAUGUAGCUUCGAUCUUGUAUUGAAGUGUUAUAGCCUUCGGUAGAUGUGGUGAUCGAGAUUGAGGAUUGCAACGGAUACCUUUCGGGGCUACCUGUCUGAUCUCUGAUCGUUGCUUUGGUGCUGAAAGCGUGCUUAUAGUUAUCAAAGUCGAUGGUUAAUAGGUUAGAAUGGGUUAAAUUCGUUAAGGAUGUUGACGUAAUGGCUUUAAACGACCCGUCUUGAAACACGGACCAAGGAGUCUAACAUAUAUGCGAGUGUUAGGGUGAUUAAACCCUUACGCGUAAUGAAAGUAAUUUUGGUGGGAACACUUUUGUGCACCAUCGACCGAUCAGGAUAUUUUUUGAUAGAUUUGAGUAAGAGCAUAUCUGCUAGGACCCGAAAGAUGGUGAACUAUGCCUGAAUAGGGUGAAGUCAGAGGAAACUCUGAUGGAGGCUCGUAGCGGUUCUGACGUGCAAAUCGAUCGUCAAAUUUGGGUAUAGGGGCGAAAGACUAAUCGAACCAUCUAGUAGCUGGUUCCUGCCGAAGUUUCCCUCAGGAUAGCAGAAACUCGUUAACAGUUUUAUGAGGUAAAGCGAAUGAUUAGAGGCCUUAGGGUUGAAACAGCCUUAACCUAUUCUCAAACUUUAAAUA